GUAGGCAACCAAAAAAACAAUUACUACAAAUAUUACUGUUCGAAUAUUAAGGAUUGAAGAGCUGUUCCUUAACAAAGUUAAUCUUGAUCUUUUUCUUUUACCCUUCCACUGUUUAAACACAUUUCCUCUAGAUCUCAGGGACCCAAAGUAAAAACUUACUGCUAAACAUAACUUUGCAUCUUCAAGCUUUAACGCUCUAGGUACAGACUCAACUAUCACCACAAAUUCUUCAUAUUUGCAUUAGACUAAGUGCUGUGAGAUUCACAAAUUGGGAGAGGCAAGUAAAAGCUCUGACUCGACGAGACCAGGAAAAUAACUGUAUGCUUGGCAUCAGUUAGUUGCUUGAGUACUUAGGAUCAGCCACUACAUAAUGAUAAGCAAUAACAAAUACAAAAAUAAAGAUGCCAACAAAGUUAGCAAAGAAUCCCAAAUCUUGAUCAUCCAUUAUCUGCAAGAGGAAAUUGAAGCGCCAAUACUUAGGACAAAAUGAAAACUAUUACAUUGAGUUACACAAGUUAGAUUUACAACAACUUUGCAAUGACUGGCUUCCGGAAAGGACACAGCAGCACGCGUUCACGCAGGGUCCGGGAAAUGGCCACACCCCAAGGGUGUGAUGUAGGCAACGUAACCUAAUGCAAGCAUUAGUGGCUGUUUCUACGACGAGACCUAUAGGUCACACGGAGACAACUUUACCGUUGCUCCAAGGCAUCCCUUCUCUGGUUCCCGGAAACUAGAUCAGAAAUAAAACAAGGGACAUAAUUCCUUCCAAAACCACAAGAAUGAAUAAUACUGAACUAAUAGAUGCUAAUUGAAGUGAAAGUCCAUAUAAGAAAGCAAGUGUGUUAAACACAAUAGUUAAUUUCCUGAAAUAACCUUUUACUUUUCAUCAGUCCCUGUAUCUUUUCAAGGUAACCAUGUAAAGUGACUAAAAUAUUAUCAUGAAACAAUCGACAUUCAAUUCUUUUUGGAACCAGAGUAUUGGUAUAGCACAAAACUAUAAGAACUUCAACCUAUGUCUGUGCAAACUGGACUAUAUCUUUUUAUUUCUCUUUUGAGGACAAGCACUUGGCGAAAUAACAUCUUUCUUAUUAUUUAGUGCAAAAUGGAUUUGAACAAGCAAAGAUCCCUUUCUUAUUCCUAUUGCUACAUAGUUAUUUUAUCUCAUUUGUUGGAAAAUGAUUUCAAUUGAUUUGUUUUACACCCUACUUUCAUUGUUUUGGGGAGACAUCUCGCUUUUGUGCAUAUUCUCUUUUAAACUUAACCCUGACUCGGGCAGUGAUCUCAUUGCUCUCACUAUGUACAUCCAAUGCACUGAUGAGAGCACAAGUUACUGACUAUCACAGAGGAUUACAAAGCCAAAUUAUUUUAGAGUUAUCCAUUUUCUGGAAUGAGAUAUGAACUUAUGAUACUACCUUUCAUUUUUUAAAAGAAUUAAGAAACACAAACCCAAGGUAUUGGUCCUCCUCCUUAGCACUAGAUCAAAGCCUCACCGACCAAGUUAGGUACCUAUAUGCACAGCAUUCACUUGUUUAAAACUCCAAAGCUCUACAACAGCUCCCUUACACAUGUCGACAAUCUAAACCAUUCGAUACCUUAAAAUUCUGUGUCUCAACAUACCUAAUGAUCUACCACAGUCAGGCAUCAAUCCAACUGCCACAACCUAAGACUUCUACAGAAAGAAAAAUGAAGGCAAUUCGGAGCAUAAAGCAUCCCGCAACUCGGCACCCCGAGGGGUGUGAUGUAGAUAGCCUACCCUAAUGCUAACACUUCUAUAGAGAAUGCUUAAAUUAAAUUCGCGAACCUAACGUCACGGUCAACACCCACACAAAUCUACACUUCCUAAAAAUAUUAAGACAAAGUUCUUCCUAAAAAUAUUUAGUUACACUUUACACACCAGUGAUCAAUGACAAUUUAGAGUUAUCCAAUUCCGCAAAAUAGUUAUGAAUUACCUCUUUUCUCAAUAAUUAAGAACCACAA
rnacentral:lncRNA from 1 species